UUCGAUUCCGGAGAGGGAGCCU
rnacentral:ncRNA from 2 species